GAGCCGUUAGCUCAGUUGGUAGAGCAUCUGACUUUUAAUCAGAGGGUCGGCAGUUCGAGGCUGCCACGGCUCA
rnacentral:tRNA from 4 species